rnacentral:rRNA from 1 species
UACGAAGGGGGCUAGCGUUGUUCGGAAUUACUGGGCGUAAAGCGCACGUAGGCUGACAUUUAAGUCAGGGGUGAAAUCCCGAGGCUCAACCUCGGAACUGCCUUUGGUACUGGGUGUCUCGAGUCCGGAAGAGGUGAGUGGAAUUCCUAGUGUAGAGGUGAAAUUCGUAGAUAUUAGGAAGAACACCAGUGGCGAAGGCGGCUCACUGGUCCGGUACUGACGCUGAGGCGCGAAAGCGUGGGGAGCAAACAGG